GUCUCAGGGGCGGGGCGCAGUUCUUGCGGGAGGAGCGGGGCGGUGCGCUCCUGGCCACGCAGGCUGGAAACUGUAGCUCUUAACGGUUCCCCGCCCGUUGGUGGCAAGGCGGCUGGACUAGAAUCCUAGCAGGCGAUAUGCGAGAAGGCGGGCAGCCCAAGAGGGUUGGGCAGGGCAGUGUGGAUCUCGCCGCUUCCACAGCGAUGCUGGCUACUGAUUUCGGACACCUCCUUGCCAUGGGAUGGAAAUUAAUGUUAUGACUGGAUAAGACAAUUGUGAAGAAACUGCACUUCGAGGUUGUCUGUCUCCGUAUUCCGAUGGAAAAGGCUGGACUUUAGAAGCAUUGCUCGCUCCUUCAGUUUCUAACAAGAGUUUUACAGUUUCUGAUUAAAUACCAAUGGGAUAUCACCUCCCAUCUCUUAGGAUGGCUGUUAUAAAAAGGACAAGAGAUAACAAGUGUUGGUGAUGGUGUGGAGAGAAGGGAACCUUUGUACACUGCUGGUUAAAAUGAAAUGAAAUCAGCAUCUGAUAGAGAUAUCUUCACUCCCCUCUUCUCCGUGCCCCACCACAGCAUUGCUCCCAACAGCCAAGCCAUGGGAUGAAGUUACUGUGCAUUGAUGGAUGAGUGGAGAAAAGAAAAUGUGGGGGAGGUGUUUGUGCAUGUAUGUGUGUGUGUGUAUAAUAUAUAAUAAUAUAAUAUUUUUCAGCUUUUAAGAAGUUGAAGAUACUGCCAUUUGUGAUAACAUAAAUGAAUCUGGAGGAUAUUAAGCUAAGUAAAAUAACUUAGGGAGAGAGAAAAAUACUGCAUAAUUUCUGUUACAUAUGAAAUCUUUAAAAAGGUUUAAUACAUAGAGACAUGAUAGAGUGAUGAUUUGGGGGAUAAGAGACACAAGUCAACGUUUCAGUUAUAUAAAAUAAAUGAAUCUAGAGGACUAAAGUACAAUUUAAAGGUUAUAGUUACUAUUUUUAUAUUAUAUACUAGUGAUUUUUGAACAGGGUAAACUUUAGGUGCUUUGACACCAAAAGGAAACUACAUGAGUUCAUGUAUAUGUUAAAUUGUUUGACCGCAGUCAUCAUUGAUAUGUAUAUGUAUAUAUAUAUAAUUAUGGGCUCAUUAAAUUUAAAUGCUAUAAAUAGGUAACAAAGAAUAAAGUUAAUUGAAAAACUGCAUCAUUAGACUUGAUUUUGCCUACAUGAAAAACUGAAACUGCCUCCUAAAUAUUAAUAUUUGUACAUCGCAUAAAGUUUAUAUGUUGGAAAUAUGUUUAAAGAAAAGGAAUUAUAAAUUUUAAUAAACACAGAAUGACACAGUAAAUGCAAAACAGUAGAAAGAGAUGAAAAUCUGAUUAAUCAGAGUGGUUAAUGCUUAGAUAUAAUUAAUGAUGUGUUAGGAGCAAUUUCAAGCCACUUCCACAUAGAUUUAAUACCAAAGAGUUUAUGUGUACACAG
rnacentral:lncRNA from 1 species